ensembl:snoRNA
UGCAGCUGCGUCAAAUUCAGUCCUCAUCCAGCCUGUGCUGGGGACUGGCCAAACAGCUGCCACAGCAACAUCUGUAGCUCCUGAGCCCCACCGUCCCUCUGCCUGGACCCUGGGGAUAAAUAAAUGCUGCAGACACCA